rnacentral:tRNA from 1 species
UGCGGAGUAGUUUGUGUUGGUACAAACGCCGGUCUCUGAAACCGGAAUGCAAAGGUUCGAGUCCUUUCUCCGCAG